rnacentral:lncRNA from 1 species
UAACUCAUGCUAUUGGCCAAAAGAGAGCAAAAACAUAGACAAAAAAAAAGCUCAUACACGGCGCUGAAGAGAAACGAGAAAAUCUCUUUUUCAAAACCAAAACACCUAUCGGUACUAUUGUUUUUUGGCUAGAUCUAUCAUUUAUUUUUUCUUGUUUACGUUCUACUAUUUGUUCUUAUCCUUGUUGGUUAGAUCUUCC